rnacentral:lncRNA from 1 species
UAUGCAGAGUUACCUUCCUAAUGACACUGUAGAAUCUGGCAUCCAUCCAGUAUAUUUUUGCAGCACCCAUUAUAUUGAAAUGCUACUGAAGGCUGAGUUGCCUCUUGUGUUUUCAGCUUUUCACAUGUCUGGUUUUGCACCAUCACAGAUUUGCCUGCAAUGGAUAACCCAGUGUUUUUGGAAUUACUUAGAUUGGAUAGAAAUCUGCCAUUAUAUUGCUACUUGUGUUUUCCUUGGUCCUGAUUAUCAAGUGUAUAUCUGUAUAGCUGUAUUCAAACAUUUACAGCAAGACAUUCUACAGCACACUCAGACUCAAGAUCUGCAAGUUUUCCUAAAAGAAGAAGCACUGCAUGGGUUUCGAGUGAGUGA